UACGGAGGGGGCUAGCGUUUGUUUCGGAAUUCUGGGCGUAAAGCGCGCGGUGAGGCGGCUUUGUAAGUUAGAGGUGAAAAGCCCGGGAGCUCAACUCCGGAACUGCCUUUAAGACUGCAUCGCUUAGAAUUGUGGAGAGGUGAGUGGAAUUCCGAGUGUAGAGGUGAAAUUUCGUAGAUAUUCGGAAGAACACCAGUGGCGGUAAGGCGACUUUACUGGACACAUAUUGACGCUGAGGUGCGAAAGCGUGGGGAGCAAAGCAGGG
rnacentral:rRNA from 1 species